rnacentral:piRNA from 1 species
UGCAGCAGGCGCUGACUGGUCUCUCAGAGA